rnacentral:rRNA from 1 species
GAUGAACGCUGGCGGCGUGCCUAAUACAUGCAAGUCGAGCGAACAGACGAGGAGCUUGCUCCUCUGACGUUAGCGGCGGACGGGUGAGUAACACGUGGAUAUCCUACCUAUAAGACUGGGAUAACUUCGGGAAACCGGAGCUAAUACCGGAUAAUAUAUUGAACCGCAUGGUUCAAUAGUGAAAGACGGUUUUGCUGUCACUUAUAGAUGGAUCCGCGCCGCAUUAGCUAGUUGGUAAGGUAACGGCUUACCAAGGCAACGAUGCGUAGCCGACCUGAGAGGGUGAUCGGCCACACUGGAACUGAGACACGGUCCAGACUCCUACGGGAGGCAGCAGUAGGGAAUCUUCCGCAAUGGGCGAAAGCCUGACGGAGCAACGCCGCGUGAGUGAUGAAGGUCUUCGGAUCGUAAAACUCUGUUAUUAGGGAAGAACAAAUGUGUAAGUAACUAUGCACGUCUUGACGGUACCUAAUCAGAAAGCCACGGCUAACUACGUG